UUACUGUACCAGAAGUCAUCGUGCUAACCGCAAGGAGGUAGAUGCCUAAGGUAUGGUCAGUGAUUGGGGUGAAGUCGUAACAAGGUAGCCGUAGGUGAACCUGCAGAAGGAUCA
rnacentral:rRNA from 1 species